AUUGAACGCUGGCGGCAGGCCUAACACAUGCAAGUCGAGCGGCAGCACAAGGGAGUUUACUCCUGAGGUGGCGAGCGGCGGACGGGUGAGUAAUGCCUAGGGAUCUGCCCAGUCGAGGGGGAUAACAGUUGGAAACGACUGCUAAUACCGCAUACGCCCUACGGGGGAAAAAGGGGGACCUUCGGGCCUCUCGCGAUUGGAUGAACCUAGGUGGGAUUAGCGAGUUGGUGAGGUAAUGGCUCACCAAGGCGACGAUCCCUAGCUGUUCUGAGAGGAUGAUCAGCCACACUGGGACUGAGACACGGCCCAGACUCCUACGGGAGGCAGCAGUGGGGAAUAUUGCACAAUGGGGGAAAGCCUGACGCAGCAACGCCGCGUGGGGGAAGAAGGCCUUCGGGUUGUAAACCUCUUUCAGUAGGGACGAAGCUUCCGGGGUUAAUAGCCUACGGGGUGACGGUACCUACAGAAGAAGCCCCGGCUAACUACGUGCCAGCAGCCGCGGUAA
rnacentral:rRNA from 1 species